rnacentral:rRNA from 1 species
GACGAACGCUGGCGGCGUGCUUAACACAUGCAAGUCGAACGGAAAGGCCCUGCUUGCCGGGUACUCGAGUGGCGAACGGGUGAGUAACACGUGGGUGAUCUGCCCUUCACUUCGGGAUACGCCUGGGAAACUGGGUCUAAUACCGGCUAGGAGCCAUUUUUAUUGUGAUGGUUGGAAAGUUUUUUCGGUGUAGGAUGAGCUCGCGGCCUAUCAGCUUGUUGGUGGGGUAAUGGCCUACCAAGGCGGCGACGGGUAGCCGGCCUGAGGGGGUGGACGGCCACAUUGGGACUGAGAUACGGCCCAGACUCCUACGGGAGGCAGCAGUGGGGAAUAUUGCACAAUGGGCGCAAGCCUGAUGCAGCGACGCCGCGGGGGGGAUGACGGCCUUCGGGUUGGAAACUCCGUUCGCUAGGGACGAAGCUUUUUGUGACGGUACCUAGAGAAGAAGCACCGGCUAACUACGUG